UGUAAAGUCAGUAGGUAGUGCUGCGGCCUGUGCUCGUUACCAAUUGACACAGCUUCACCUGCUCACUCAUCUAUUCGAGAAGCGGCUGCAACUGUCUCGAAGCUCCACUCGCUGAACGCCAGGCGUCAUCAUACUGCUUCGAGACGUGAGUGGAACUGUCUCGAAGCUCCACUCGCUGAACGCCAGGCUUCAUCAUACUGCUUCGAGACGGUGGUGGAACUUGCUCGAAGCCUCACUCGCUUCAUCUGUGGCGUCUGUCCAAGGCGUCUGCCCCACCGCUAGCUCAGCAGUUUAACUGCAGACAUAGAGACGACGUCUACGCGUUCCUCAUCUCUUGCCUUCUGUGUUCGUCCACCGCGUCGUCACCAGGACGUCCAGACAACACCGCUCCGGCACACAGGGUAUCGUACUCCCUCCAUUCUCCAGCAUGUCUCCCCUGCCCGUUCCCCCUGCCUGGACACUUUGGCGGCCGGAGCAGGCGACUUGUGUUAACACAGCGCGGGCUGUACCCAGCCACUGAUAGAAGUAAAGGAAGAAGGGCAGUAGAUGAAUAGAAAAAUGGGAAGAGAACGAGGAAAAGGAAUUAAGGAGAAAGAAAUUACUCCUAUAUCUCUUUACUUACAAAAACAAGAUUUUACCUUCUCCUCCUCUUUCUCUUCCUCCUCCUCCAAAGACGAGUUGGUGGUUGUGCUGAUUCAUUUAUAAAGGGUCCCCCUAUUUAUUCAAGUCAUAGAAAACGGUCUUCACGAUAUGAACCUGCCCCUUCAGACUGGUUGCCGUUUUCUCUUUGAUGGAGAGCUUUUGUAUUUCAUAUAAACUUGAGAGAGAGAGAGAGAGAGAGAGAGAGAGAGAGAGAGAGAGA